GACACGACUCUCGGCAAUGGAUAUCUCGGCUCUCGCAUCGAUGAAGAGCGCAGCGAAAUGCGAUACUUGGGGGUGAAU
rnacentral:rRNA from 1 species